AACACAAUUCGGUUCGCGCGGUUUUAGUCCCCAAAAUCAAAAUUGCUUGGUCUGAAAAGAGAAAAAUGGGAAAGCGGCUUAGAGAUUAGAGACGAUAGCAUUUGAUUCAGAAAUAUCCAUUUGAAUCUCUCGCGUUUCCCUUAGAUUCGAUCCCUUCCUCCCCGCCGCCAUGCUUCCGUCGCACCUCAACGGCCACUCCCCCCUCGCGCGCCGCCG
rnacentral:lncRNA from 1 species